GACAUGACUACGGCGCCUCAGGGGCUGUGCCCACGCCACUGCCAGUUCCCUGUCCCUGCUGCAGCCACUGUCCCUCUGUUCCCUUGGCCUCUCCCCAUUCUUGGAACUCUCACUUCCUCCGCCAAAGCCCAGAAGGCACCAGGGCAGUUGAGAAGAGACUGUGACAACUCAUCAGCCACUUACUCGCUGCCUGACUCUGGCAAGUUAUUUCACCUUUCAGACCUCACUUUCCUCAUCCACAAAACGGCUGGGCCCCACUCCCCUGGACAGAGAUAAAUCAGCAGACAAUGCAGCUAGUGACAAGAUAAACUCCUCCAACAUCGACAGCAAGGCUCUGAAAUGCCCUCUCAUAGAGGAGAAUUCUCUGGCUCAGUGCCCCCGAGGUCUUGGACAAGGCCAGGCUGCUCCUUAGAGCUGGAGAGAACUAUUAAGAUGGCGAAACUGAGGACCCAAGUGGGGCAGUGCCCAUCUUAGGUGUGCAGUUAAGAAGAGGCAGAGGCAGAGACACCUGCAGACCUCCUAACACUCAGUUUCCAGGCUCUCCUCAACCCACCUCAGCUUGGCCCGGUGAAGGGAGGUUGUGCCUGGACGAGGUGGCAGCGUCUGGGACACACAGGGGAGAAGAUGGGUAAGAAGGAGGAAAAGUGGGGGAGGAGGGCAGCAGCCCAGCCUGGGAAGGGGUUGAGGGAUGAGGCAGGGCUGCCUGGGUGAUGACGAAGAGGCCUGGGAGGAGGGCAGAAGGACACACUUAGAACUCCAAGCGAACUGUCCUUACCCACCCUUCUCGCCUUCCCUCAGGGUCUGUCUUCUCCUGCUUACUUAGGGAAAAAUAAUGACAGAAAGGUGGAGAGUAGAGACAAAAGAGAGGGCUGACCCACCUGUCCUCCCUCCCGUCUCUGUCCAUCUGUCUCCAUCUACUCACUCCCCACCUGUGACUUACCCACUGCUGCACUCCGUAGGCAUGCCCGGGUGCCCCCAGCUCAUCUCCCCACUUGCACCACCUCAGCCCCAGCUGCUGCUCCCCAAGUCCACUUCCCCAUGACCUCUCUGGCUUUUCUGCUCCUUCCCUCUAUGCCUCUCUGCCUGCAGCAGAGGGAGGGCCACCGCUUGCCUGGAGCUUGGAGCCCAGCACCUGGAGGUCAGUCAGCUCCAGGGGGAAGAAGGGCCCAGCACCUACUGCUUUGCAGCAAGCCCAGGAGAGAAGUCAGACCCAGUGGAAGCAUAUCUUGUCAGGGUUCCGUGGAGGCCGGGGAGGAAAUGGGCCCAAUUAAUCCAUAUUUGCCUCUCCAGAUUGAAGUACAAGUGGGGAAAUGGAAGAAUUAACCUUUUCAAAAAUGUAAUUUCAUAAAAUCAUCUUGCUUGGAA